UGGGGAAUCUUGCGCAAUGGGCGAAAGCCUGACGCAGCGACGCCGCGUGAGCGAUGAAGGCCUUCGGGUUGUAAAGCUCUGUGGGGAGAGAAGAAUAAGGAUACGCUAAUACCGUAUUCGAUGACGGUAUCUCCUUAGCAAGCACCGGCUAACUCUGUGCCAGCAGCCGCGGUAAGACAGAGGGUGCGAACGUUGUUCGGAAUUACUGGGCGUAAAGCGCGUGUAGGCGGCUAGGCAAGUCGGACGUGAAAUCCCACGGCUCAACCGUGGAAGUGCAUUCGAAACUGCUUAGCUGGAGUCUCGGAGAGGAAGGCGGAAUGCUUGGUGUAGAGGUGAAAUUCGUAGAUAUCAAGCGGAACACCGGUGGCGAAGGCGGCCUUCUGGACGAUGACUGACGCUGAGACGCGAAAGCGUGGGGAGCAAACAGGAUUAGAUACCCCCGUAGUCC
rnacentral:rRNA from 1 species